rnacentral:rRNA from 1 species
AGAGUUUGAUCCUGGCUCAGGACGAACGCUGGCGGCGUGCUUAACACAUGCAAGUCGAGCGGGGACAUGAAACGGAAGGUUUCGGCUGGAAGGUUCAUGUUCUAGCGGCGGACGGGUGAGUAACGCGUGAGCAAUCUGUCCCAGACAGGGGGAUAACACUUGGAAACAGGUGCUAAUACCGCAUAAGACCACGGGGAGGCAUCUUCCUGAGGUAAAAGGAGCAAUCCGGUUUGGGGUGAGCUCGCGUCCCAUUAGCUAGUUGGCGAGGUAACGGCCCACCAAGGCGACGAUGGGUAGCCGACCUGAGAGGGUGAUCGGCCACAUUGGAACUGAGACACGGUCCAGACUCCUACGGGAGGCAGCAGUGGGGAAUAUUGGGCAAUGGGCGGAAGCCUGACCCAGCAACGCCGCGUGAAGGAAGAAGGUUUUCGGAUUGUAAACUUCUGUCCUAAGUGACGAAGGAAGUGACGGUAGCUUAGGAGGAAGCCCCGGCUAACUACGUGCCAGCAGCCGCGGUAAUACGUAGGGGGCGAGCGUUGUCCGGAAUGACUGGGCGUAAAGGGCGUGUAGGCGGCUUUUUAAGUCUGAAGUGAAAGUCCUGCUUUCAAGGUGGGAAUUGCUUUGGAGACUGGAAGGCUUGAGUGCGGAAGAGGUAAGUGGAAUUCCCAGUGUAGCGGUGAAAUGCGUAGAGAUUGGGAGGAACACCAGUGGCGAAGGCGGCUUACUGGACAAUAACUGACGCUGAGGCUCGAAAGCGUGGGGAGCAAACAGGAUUAGAUACCCUGGUAGUCCACGCCGUAAACGAUGAAUACAGGUGUCGGGG